GUACUGUCUUCCAGGAUUUUAUGGCUUUAGGUCUCACAUUUAAGUCUUUAAUCUAAUUUUGAGUUUAUUUUUGUAUAUGGUGAAAAUGAGAAGGUUGUCCAAUUU